rnacentral:rRNA from 1 species
UACGUAGGGUCCGAGCGUUGUCCGGAAUUAUUGGGCGUAAAGGGCGCGUAGGCGGUUCGAUAAGUCAGCUGUGAAAACCAUGGGCUUAACUCAUGGCCUGCAGUUGAGACUGUCGGGCUGGAGCGUGGGAGAGGAGAGUGGAAUUCCUGGUGUAGCGGUGGAAUGCGCAGAUAUCAGGAGGAACACCGAUGGCGAAGGCGGGUCUCUGGGCAGUAACUGACGCUGGAGGAGCGAAAGCGUGGGGAGCGAACAGG